rnacentral:rRNA from 1 species
AGGACGAACGCUGGCGGCGUGCUUAACACAUGCAAGUCGAGCGGAAAGGCCCUUCGGGGUACUCGAGCGGCGAACGGGUGAGUAACACGUGAGCAACCUGCCCUUAGCUCCGGGAUAGCUCCGGGAAACCGGAAUUAAUACCGGAUACGACUGCUACGGACAUCUGUGGUGGUGGAAAGAACUUCGGCUAGGGAUGAGCUCGCGGCCUAUCAGCUUGUUGGUGGGUAACGGCCUACCAAGGCGACGACGGGUA